UACGAAGGGUGCAAGCGUUAAUCGGAAUUACUGGGCGUAAAGGGUGCGUAGGCGGUUCGUUAAGUCUGUCGUGAAAUCCCCGGGCUCAACCUGGGAAUGGCGAUGGAAACUGGCGAGCUAGAGUGUGUCAGAGGAUGGUGGAAUUCCCGGUGAGCGGGUGAAAUCGUAGAGAUGGGAGGAACAUCAGUGGCGAAGGCGGC
rnacentral:rRNA from 1 species